GAUGAACGCUGGCGGCGUGCUUAACACAUGCAAGUCGAACGAGAAGUGAAGACGGAAACCUUCGGGCGGAAGGCUUUAUUUCGAGUGGCGGACGGGUGAGUAACGCGUGGGUAACCUGCCUCAUACAGGGGGAUAACAGUUGGAAACGACUGUUAAUACCGCAUAAGACCACAGCACCGCAUGGUGCGGGGGUAAAAACUCCGGUGGUAUGAGAUGGACCCGCGUUCGAUUAGCCAGUUGGCGGGGUAACGGCCCACCAAAGCGACGAUCGAUAGCCGAUCUGAGAGGAUGACCGGCCACAUUGGGACAGAGACACGGCCCAAACUCCUACGGGAGGCAGCAGUGGGGAAUAUUGCACAAUGGGGGAAACCAUGAUGCAGCGACGCCGCGUGAGUGAAGAAGUAUUUCGGUAUGUAAAGCUCUAUCAGCAGGGAAGAAAAUGACGGUACCUGAGUAAGAAGCCACGGCUAACUACGUG
rnacentral:rRNA from 1 species